rnacentral:rRNA from 1 species
GAUGAACGCUAGCGACAGGCUUAACACAUGCAAGUCGAGGGCAGGCGGGGGCGAAAGCUUGCUUUCGCCUGCCGGCGACCGGCGCACGGGUGAGUAACACGUAUGCAACCUGCCCGCAGCAGGGGGAUAAGCCGGAGAAAUCCGGUCUAAUACCGCGUAAUACCCCGAGGGGACAUCCCUUUGGGGGUCAAAGGAGCAAUCCGGCUGCGGAUGGGCAUGCGUCGCAUUAGGCAGUUGGCGGGGUAACGGCCCACCAAACCGACGAUGCGUAGGGGUUCUGAGAGGAAGGUCCCCCACAUUGGAACUGAGACACGGUCCAAACUCCUACGGGAGGCAGCAGUGAGGAAUAUUGGUCAAUGGGCGAGAGCCUGAACCAGCCAAGUAGCGUGCAGGACGACGGCCCUAUGGGUUGUAAACUGCUUUUAUACGGGAAUAAAGUGGGCCACGCGUGGUCUUUUGCAUGUACCGUAUGAAUAAGGACCGGCUAAUUCCGUG